CCGCCGAUCGGUCCUCGGCAGCGCCGGCCAACCGCCAACGGCGCACUGGCCUGCGCACACUCGUCAGCAAAUCGGCUUCACGGUGGCAAUUGCAACAGCGAACCCAUCGUCAGUGUUCUUCCUGAUCUCUCUUGAUUCCCGAUUUCCCCCGAUUGUCAAUUGAGAGUAGAAGAUGAUUAUCGUUAAUCCUUAAUUUGUCGACUGGUACGUCGAAGAAUUCAGUUGAAUUUGACUUACGAUUUGCAUUGUUUCGCUAGAAAACUUGGCAGUGCUAGUUGGCAACAAAAGAGGCGCUAGAGAAUUAAGGUGAUUUUUAUGCAUUAUUAUGCUUAAGUUUAUAACCCCGCAAAUAAAAAAGAACAUUCAAAUUUACAAGUAUCCGCCAUCCACUAUCUAAUAUGCAUAACUUUUGGUUUGUAGAGUUAUAUGUAUGAAAGAUGAAGAAUGUGAUCAAUCCUCCUUGUUCUUGCAACGUAACUAAAUUGCUAGAGAUGUUUUCGCUACAAAGAACAAUUUGUAGCUUCAUUAUCAUUAUUGUGAAAUUUUAUGUCUUAAAUCGUUGCACUACAAUUUUUUUUUUUUACCAUGCAUACCCAUGUCAGGAAACCUUCUCCGCCACUAAUUCCAG
rnacentral:lncRNA from 1 species